ensembl:lncRNA
CAACAAUUUAAAAAAAUUACAAAGCACAAACACAUACCACUUUUACAUGGAAAAUAUGGCCUGUUCAAAUUUUAAAAAAUUGACACAAACCAUCACCAAGGAAGCCCAGAUAUUGGACUUACUAGAUAAGGUCUUGUUGUUGAGAACAGAAUAUCUUAAUAUUAUAAUGUGAUAGCUCUGGAAAUCGAAUUCUCCACCUUCCUCAGCAUUUACUUUUCACUGUUUGUCUGUAAUCAUCUUUUGACCCAGUAACUUUCCCAUCCCUCUUGCCCAGAGACCCGAUCCCCUGUCAGGUGUGCCCCUGGUGCUCAGCGAGGGUGUGGACCGGGGCUGCCUUGCCUGACAGGCACGCAGACCUCGCCUGCCUCCUUUGGUCCUCUCCUCGAAGCUCUGCACUGUGAUUCGCAUUCUGAGCACCGGGAUCAGCCAAAGAUGAACCCUAAGGUCUCUCCAGGACUUUUCUGCGCAUGAAUCUCGUCAUGGGUGUGGGUGUGGCUUUGCAAAUUCUCCUGGAUACACCUGCACUUUUGAAUGCCCUGAGUCUCCAAAGAAAUUCUCUCCCUGAUCUUUUCUCCCACUGCGUGGGUCAUCUGUCGGGUCUCAGUCUUGCUACAGGUUGUUUCCCGCCAUCCAAUGCGCCAAGAGUGCUGGUCUUCACCGUGCGCACACGAGCCUCAGCCUGUGUACUGACCCCUCGCCCCGCAGGUGCAGACUUUCCAGCUUCACCACGGGCACCCGGCAUUCCCAGUCGACUCUCUGUAUGGACUUGCCUGUGACGUUGCCCUGGGCCCCACGCCUCUGAGUGGUCUCAGCAACAGCACCUGUCUCCAAACACAGCCACAUUCAGCGUUGGUGCCAGGUAAUGUGGCAGAGCAAACCUGCGGCAUCACCUGGAGGGAGCAAAGAGAGAGGAGGACUGGGGAUCUGGAUCUCCUCACCCGCUCUUAGCCAAAAGGCUGGGCCUCCACCAAGCCACGUCCUCGAAGAGCUGCAGGCCUCCUGCCAGGCCCCUCCUUUGGGUCCACAGCACCUCCCAUAGCAGCGCCCUGGCACCUGCAGAGACCACAGGACUCCGAGGGUAGCAAAUGUCUAUGCAAACCUGCAGCUGGCAUCAGCCUCAAUGGUGAAAGGCUAAAUGCUUUCCUUAAAAUAGGGAACAAGGGGCGAAUCUGCUCACACCACCGCUAUUUAAUGUAGUAUAAGUAGGGGCCAACAGCGUAGGCAAAGAAAGCAAAAAACGCCCAGAGCAGAAAUGACUGUUCCUAUUUGCAGACGACAUAAUAACUGAAGAAAUGUCUCACAAGAAAUUUAUAAAAAACAAAAAACCAAAACACUCCUAAAAAUAAAUUCAUCCUUCACAAAAUAGAAAUACAAUUGAUUUUUGUAUAUUAUCUUCUAUCCGCUAUGAAAGAACACAAACACUGAAAUUUAAUAUGUCAUCUGCCAUUAUUUAACAAAAAUUGAACACUUAUGUGUAAAUCUAACAAAACAUGCACUAGAUUUGCUUGCCGAAAAGGACACAACACCAAUGAAGUGAAUGAGAAAAGAUCUGAGUAAAUGGAGAGGACACGGGCUUGUGACUGGGUAGAUGCAACCUAAUAAAGAUCUGACUCUCUCCAAAUGGCAAGAUCGGUGCAAUUUCUAUUAAAAUCCUAGCAAGGAUUCUGUAGGUAUUAGUUAUUCAAAACUUAUAUGAGAAAGCAAAAGAAUCACUAAGAUGAAUUUGAAAAAGAAGAAUGAAGCCAGAGUAAUCGGUCUGCCCAAUUCCAAGACUUUUUUUUUUUAACCAAGGUAAGGGAGCAACUCAGCUGUGGAGAGAGAGCCUUUCCCACACACGGCCACCCACAGGCCAACAAGCGACUCUCAAGCUUCACAUCUUAUUCAAACAUUAUUUCAAAGGAGGACGCAGACUUAAGUAUAAAAUAACAUCACCACCACCCCCGUGUUCAGAAAAGAGGAGAAAAUCUGUGGUUUGUGGAAUGAGGCAAGAAGUUCUUAGACUGGACAUGAAAAGCAUGAUCCAUAAAAGGAAAAAUUGGUAAGUUGGACUGAAUCAAAACUUACAACUUUUGUUCUGCAAAAGACCAUGGCAGGAGGACUAACUAUAGUUAUAAUAAUUUGUUAUGGAAUACACAAUAUAAAUAGACAGAAAACACAAAAUCAGUGCAUAAAAUGUGGGGUGGGGAAGAAGUAAAAAUGUAGUCUUUGUAUGCAUUCAAAGUCAAGCUGUUGCUAGCUUAAAUUAGAAUAUUAUAACUAUACAUGUUUUAUGUAAGCCUCAUGAUAACCGCAAAGAAAAAAUCCUCUAGUAGGUACACAAAAAAUAAAGAGAAUGAAAUCAAAUCAUACCAGCACAAAAAUGGAACAAAUCAUAAAGGAAGACAGCAAGACCGGUAGAAAGGAAAAAGAAACCACAAAACAGUUGGCAAUAGUAAGUCAUGACCUGUCAAUAAUUCCUUUAAAUAUAGAUAACAUCUCUCAUCAAAAGAUAGAGUGGCCAAAUGGAUUUUUUAAAAUCCAAGAAUAUGCUGCCAAUAAGAGACUCAGUUUGCCUUAAGGAUACACAUGGGCCAAAGGGAAGGAAUGGGAAAAGCUAUUCCAGGCACAUGGAACCUAAAACCAGUCAAGGAUGGUUGUAUUUAUAUCAGACAAAACCAAUUUUAAGUUAAAAAAAAUUGUAAAAGGAGACAAGGAAGGCCACCAUAUAUUGAUAAGGGGGUCAAUUCAUCAAGAGCACAUAACAACCCUAAAUAUUUAUGUGCCAUGUUCGGAAAUUUAAAAGAAUUCUAAAAUAAUAAGGGACUCGGACUCUCUAAUAGCAAGAACACAAGCAAAACUCCCAAGAACUCUGAUUUUAAAAUGAGUGAAGGACCUGAAAAGACAUUCCUUAGGAGACAUACAAGUGGCCAGAGGAGGUAUGAAAAAAGUGCUCAGCAGGGUAACCACAGGGAAGCGCAGCCCAGACCCACGGGGAGACACGGUCCCUUGUCACCGCGGUCGUCGCUGAAUGGCUGUUCUGUAAUGACGGCAAAUCACUGCCAGCGGGUGUGGAGAGAGGAGCAUCCCUCACUGCCAGGGGGAGCAAGCCCAUGCGGCUGUGCAGAGGACCAAGGGAAGACCCCUGCAAACAUCAACCAUGGAGCCAGCAUGCAGCCGGCACCGCUGAGCACGCACGUGAAGGAAUGGAGGUGUCCGUCCACUGCAGCCCUGCUCGUGCUGCUAAGCGAGGAAGCCAUCUGUGCAGAUGUGUGGAUAAAGGAAAUGCGCUGCAUGGACACAACACAGUACUGUUCACUCUUUACAAUGAAAAGGAAAUCCAGUCAUCCGCAACAUGGACAGCCUGGAGGACACCGUGCUGAGUGACACAAGCCAGACGAGACAAGAAAAGCAGGUACUGCAUGUGGCACUCACGCCCAGACUCUGCCCUGUCCUCCUCACCAAGCACAGAGCAGGACACAGAGGCACGGGCCCACCGUGACAGCUUAGAGCUCUCUCUCAGACACGACGGUCGGAGAUCCGCAGCACGGCAAGGAGUGGAUUUCACAACUCCUGAAAGAGUCCAUGUGCAACAUCCUCCCCAGCACGCAGAGUGUGAGGAGACUGUGACCCUAGUUCGAUUUGAUCAUUCCACAGCGUAAACACACAUCGAAGGGUCACGCUGCACUCACACACGCAU